rnacentral:rRNA from 1 species
GUAGGUGGCAAGCGUUGUCCGGAAUUAUUGGGCGUAAAGCGCGCGCAGGUGGUUCGUUUAAGUCUGAUGUGAAAGACCCCCGGGCUCAACCGGGGAGGGUCAUUGGAAACUGGGGAACUUGAGUGCAGGAGAGGAAAGUGGAAUUCCACGUGUAGCGGUGAAAUGCGUAGAUAUGUGGAGGAACACCAGUGGCGAAGGCGACUUUCUGGCCUGUAACUGACACUGAGGCGCGAAAGCGUGGGGAGCAAACAGGAUUAGAUACCCUGGUAGUCCACGCCGUAAACGAUGAGUGCUAAGUGUUCGGGGGGGUUUCCGCCCCUCAGUGCUGCAGCUAACGCAUUAAGCACUCCGCCUGGGGAGUACGGUCGCAAAGACUG